AUGCUUAGCAGCCUCCCGGGCCAGUGCUCACUAGAUGCUAUCCAAUCUACCUCUUCCUCAAUUGUGAAUAACCAAAGAUGUCUCCAGAAAUUGCCAGAUGUCCCCUGGAGUGGGGAGAUAACCCUGGCUGAGGUCGAUACGUGCAUUUCCUCUGGUUCUGUUAACAUAAUGGGAAUUAAGCAUGUGCAUCGACUGAUAUAUCUCUCCAUAUGCUGGGAAUUUAAUUUCUCAGUCUAGGUGUGUCUUGGAUAAGUGAUGGGGAGGCUUCCUCUAAAAUGUCCAUGAGAAAAACCUUCUGCCCAUUUAGCACUGGAACUUGAAUCACAAGAAACCAGGUGCGUACCUGCUCUCCCACCGAAGCCUGCACAUAGCAAAUCUCCAAGAACUCAAAAGAAUAAAAUGAUGUGAAUGAACUGUUAACUUUCUUGAGUCAGGCUAGACUUGAAAACAAGACUUUCUGUGUUAUUAGAUUGAGAGAGAAAUGUAUAAAUCAGUACUUCUUAUUUUGUGGUUAACCUGUCUGUAUUGCUCAGGGUCCAGUCAGGAAAGCAGAAUCACUUUCUAUAUUGCAACAGAGAAAUUUCAGAAAGGAAACUGGUUGAGAAGGUAUGAGAGGACUCCUAGAGCAGCAUGGGGAGACUGGUGGUUCAGAAGGAAGUACAGCUAGCAGGUGUCAGCCCUCAGACUGGAGGAACAAAGGGAAGUUGCGAUUUUCAAAUCCAGAAUCUUGGAUGAGGGAUGUUUUGGGACUGAAGAGGGCUGAAGAGGGAUCGGGUUCUUUGGGGUGUUGAUACCUUUGAGUGCUGUCCCAUGAGGCUAGUUCUAGGAGUGCAGAAAGCAGCUGGGUACUGGAGAUGAUUGCCACUCUCAGGGUGAAGAACCCUGUUCAUCUGAGUUAUAGGGAUUCCCAUUGAAACCACUUAUGGGUAAUUGUCCUGUGAAUUGACAGGUUAAAGCAAUGUGUUAACUCCUUUCUGAACUUCAUUGUUCAGUUUCUAAGAGCUUCAUUGUCCUCAUCCAUAAAAUGGGGCCAAUAAUCUUUACUUGGCUCAUCUUGAUGGUGUCUUUGGAACAUAAAAAGAUAUUAAAACACUUGGUCUGUGAUCAUUGUGUGUGUGUGCUAAGUCACUUCAGUGGUGUCUGACUCUGUGCAACCCAAUGGAUGAUAGCCUGCCAGGCUCCUCUGUCCAUGGGGAUUCUCCAGACGAGAGUACUGGAAUGGGAUGCCAUGCCCUUCUCCAGGUGAUCGUCCCAACCCAAGGGUCAUACUCGCAUCUCUUAUGUCUCCUGUAUUGUCUGGCAGAUUAUUUACCAGUAACACCACCUGGGAAGCCCAGUCAGUG
rnacentral:lncRNA from 1 species